UACACUUCGACGAAAUGACAUACACUGAAUUUCAAGCUUGCUUAUAGUACUUCCUUAUAGAUGCGUUACCAUCUUAAACUACACGCACGCAGUUCUGGUAACGUCAUUUGUUGGAAAACAGCGAGAACUUAUUCAAAGUCCUGAUAUAUUUUAGAGAGACAUUAAAUUAUUUUAAUCAAAAUAUUUUCCACCGUUAACUACAACUUUUUCCCACUUUUCUGGCAAUAAGUGGAUUCCGUUGUAAAAGAAAUGUUUGUCUUUCGAAGCAAUCCAUUCAUCGAACCAUUUCUUUAUUGCAUCAUGUGUUUUGAAUAGCUGGCCAGUAAGCUGCUGCAUCGAUCGAAAUAAGUAAUAAUCUGAAAGACCACAGUUUGGUGAAUACGCGGUGUGUGGUAAAAUUUCCCAUUGAAAUUCCGAUAACGUAUAUUUAACUGCUUUUGCAACGUGUGGUCGAGCAUUGUCGUGCAACAAAAUCACUUUGCCUUUUCUUUGAGCUGUUAUUGGACGUUUCUGGUUCAAAGCACGAUUCAAAUCGAUUAAUUGUCGUUGGUAAAGCUCAGCAGUGAUUAUUUGAUUCGGUUUCAGCAGCUCAUAAUACACGAUGCCCUUCAUGUCCCACCAAAUGUAUAACAAAACCUUACUUCCAUGGAUAUUGCGUUUUGGAGUCGAUGUCGACGAUUGACCUGGAUCUACCUAUGCUUAGGAUUAUCAUAUUAUAUCCAUUUUUCGUCGCCUGUUACAAUUUGAUAUAAACAUUGCUUCUUUUUGUGACGAGAAAGCAGUGAAGUGCAAAUGGUUAAACGAUUCUGUAUAGCCAAUUCAGACAAUUCGUUUGGAACCCAUUUGCCUUCUUUUUGAAUCUUUCCCAUUACCUGUAAACGAUCAGAAACGGUUGAUUUACCAACAUUUAAUGUUAUAGCUAAUUCUUUAAGUGUUUGAACUGAGUUUUCAUCCAACAAUGCCUACAAUUCGGCAUCUUCAAGCUUUUUUGGUUGACCUGAACGUUCUUUGUCUUUCAAAUCAAAAUCACUACUUUUAAAUCGAUACCAGUAUUCAUACAUUUUAACUGAUGGAACAGAUUCAGAAUAAGUUUCUGAGAUGAAUCGGUGAGUUUCGGCAGCUGUUUUCUUCGAAUCAAAGCAAUAAAGUAAUAGAUGCCGAAAAUGCUCUUUAUCACGUUCCAUGUUUAAUCGCACUAAACAGUGUGUUUAUGUUUACGAAUGCACAGGACAUGUGUCAAUUUGUUUGUAGAGAUGUCCUAGCUUUGACAUGACGUACUCAUUUUCAAAAUGUUUCCAGUAGAUUUGUAGCUAUAGCCAUCUAUAGUGAAUCCUCAAAACUAACUGGAACACCUAAUAUAUAUAUACAAGGUGUCCCGAAUCUUUAUGAUGACCCUUGGGGAGAACGUAGAACGGAUUGAGCAUACAAAAAGCGGCAGCGGAAAGAAAGAUGCCUUCGGCCGACGUGCGACUGUGACACUCGCGAAUCGCAUCUCGCCGCGUCACUCUGCCUAUAACUACGAGACAUAGCGAGGCUUGAUGCAUGACAUAUCCGUGUGCCGAAUCGACGUCGAAGCGUAUCACCGCUUCGGCUGCAUACAUGUAUGUAGAGAUGACACAGCGAGCGGCGUGUAACAUAAAAUCGUGUGCCCAAAGAUAAUUAUCUUUUGUUUUCUCGACGUUGCCGUAGAAAAAUGAUAGCGCGCGAUUACAUUUAGAAGAUUAUUUUAUAAGACAGCUCACAUUAAAACCUUGUUUUUCUGUGAUUAAAGAAAAAAAAAAACAGAAAGAAAGAAAACGAUAGAAACUGAAAGGAUUUGUAGAGAAUCUAACGGUUCGGUUACGUAUUCGUGUCCCAUUGUGUCCAUGUUUUUUUACUGUUAAAGAGAAAAAUAUAUAAAAUAUAUAAUAUAUAAAUACGCAGAUAAAUUCUUUGUAUAAUCAGACUUUGUUUUUAAAUUUUGGCAUAAAUAAAAAUGAUCAGUGCUAAUAUGACAAAUGUAAGCAAAACAAAUGCUAUUGCUUAUUAAAUAAACUCUUUAUUGGUCGCAAUUGUACACAAAAACGAAAGAGAAGUAUACGUGUCUCCACCGUAAUACCUCCUAACAUCAGUUGUUAUCAGCUAAUAAAUAGCUGAUUUUCGAUGUUCAUGAGUCGCGCUCGUUCAUUUUCGACUAUAUACAUAUAUGUAUGCGUAUGUAUUUGUAUUUGUGUUUGUGUGUAGACAUCGAUAUAUUUACAUGAUAUAGAGAAAUAAGUUAUAAACAUUUGUAUUGUUUUAUUUAUGCAAUGUACAAAAAGGUAGAUAUACAUUAAAACAAAUGCAAUAGCAAUAAAAAAAAAACAUGGACACAAUGGGACGCAAACACGCAACCUCCC